UAGGGAAUCUUCCGCAAUGGGCGAAAGCCUGACGGAGCAACGCCGCGUGAGUGAUGAAGGUCUUCGGAUCGUAAAACUCUGUUAUUAGGGAAGAACAAAUGUGUAAGUAACUAUGCACGUCUUGACGGUACCUAAUCAGAAAGCCACGGCUAACUACGUGCCAGCAGCCGCGGUAAUACGUAGGUGGCAAUCGUUAUCCGGAAUUAUUGGGCGUAAAGCGCGCGUAGGCGGUUUUUUAAGUCUGAUGUGAAAGCCCACGGCUCAACCGUGGAGGGUCAUUGGAAACUGGAAAACUUGAGUGCAGAAGAGGAAAGUGGAAUUCCAUGUGUAGCGGUGAAAUGCGCAGAGAUAUGGAGGAACACCAGUGGCGAAGGCGACUUUCUGGUCUGUAACUGACGCUGAUGUGCGAAAGCGUGGGGAUCAAACAGG
rnacentral:rRNA from 1 species